GGAAGUUAAAGCGCUGGGUAUUUUCCUACUCGGAAAAGAGAAGAAAGCUAGCCACCAUUUUUAUAUAUUCAGAGCCUCUCAGGCUCAGCUCAAAAUACUCCAAAACACCUUCUCAAGCAGCCAAAACAGAGCAGGUGAAGAAGCAAGAAACAAGGAAAAGAGAGAGAGAGAUGAAGGAGAAGAAGAGCCCAUAUGAAGAAGUGGUCAGAGCCCAGACUCAGCAAUGCUCUAAAACCAAACCAGGAAGCCUGAUGCCUAAAGAGAGGAGGCUGGUGAAGAGUAUGAUAUUUGAUUGUUUUCUCUCUCUUUUCACCUCCUCUGAACGCCAACAACACAAGGAGGCUACCAAGGUUUAGUUCAAAACCGUCAAAUACGCAAUACCCUUUGAAUUUCUUCUUCUUCCUCUUCUUCUUCUACUUCUUUCUAUAGGUUUGAUGGUAUUGUACUCGCAAUCAAAAGAGAGAAAGAAAACAAGAUAGAAUGAAAGAAAAGUGAUUAAUGUACUCAUCGUCUUUAGGUUAAGGCUUUUACAGUGCAAUGAAAGGUGGUUUCUUUGUUUUAUAAUUAAUUCCUUGGUUUUCUCUCUACUCUCUUUAACAUGAUGAUUGUUUUAGUGAUUAUGUCCCUUAUCUCUGGUGAUAUUUGUGUUUUUCAU
rnacentral:lncRNA from 1 species